AACGAACGCUGGCGGCGGGCCUAACACAUGCAAGUCGAGCGAGACCUUCGGGUCUAGCGGCGGACGGGUGAGUAACGCGUGGGAAUAUGCCCUUUGGUACGGAAUAGCCUCGGGAAACUGAGAGUAAUACCGUAUGUGCCCUUCGGGGGAAAGAUUUAUCGCCAAAGGAUUAGCCCGCGUUGGAUUAGGUAGUUGGUGGGGUAAUGGCCUACCAAGCCUACGAUCCAUAGCUGGUUUGAGAGGAUGAUCAGCCACACUGGGACUGAGACACGGCCCAGACCCCUACGGGAGGCAGCAGUGGGGAAUCUUAGACAAUGGGGGCAACCCUGAUCUAGCCAUGCCGCGUGAGUGAUGAAGGCCUUAGGGUUGUAAAGCUCUUUCAGCUGGGAAGAUAAUGACGGUACCAGCAGAAGAAGCCCCGGCUAACUCCGUGCCAGCAGCCGCGGUAA
rnacentral:rRNA from 1 species